rnacentral:rRNA from 1 species
GACGAACGCUGGCGGCGUGCUUAACACAUGCAAGUCGAACGAUGAAGUUCCUUCGGGAAUGGAUUAGCGGCGAACGGGUGAGGAACACGUGAGAAACCUGCCUUUCAUUUUGGGAUAACCCCGGGAAACCGGGGCUAAAACCGAAUACUCCGUCUCGGCGGCAUCGCUGAGCCGGGAAAAAAUUUUGAUGAAAGAUGGUCUCGCGGCCUAUCAGCUAGUUGGUGAGGUAAUGGCUCACCAAGGCAACGACGGGUAGCCGGCCUGAGAGGGCGACCGGCCACACUGGGACUGAGACACGGCCCAGACUCCUACGGGAGGCAGCAGUGGGGAAUAUUGGGCAAUGGGCGCAAGCCUGACCCAGCGACGCCGCGUGAGGGAUGAAGGCCUUCGGGUUGUAAACCUCUUUCAGUAGGGAAGAAGCGAAAGUAACGGUACCUAAAGAAGAAGCACCGGCUAACUAUGUGCCAGCCGCCGCGGUAA